AUUGAACGCUGGCGGCAGGCCUAACACAUGCAAGUCGAACGGUAGCACAGAGAGCUUGCUCUCGGGUGACGAGUGGCGGACGGGCGAGUAAUGUCUGGGAAACUGCCCGAUGGAGGGGGAUAACUACUGGAAACGGUAGCUAAUACCGCAUAACGUGGCAAGACCAAAGUGGGGGACCUUCGGGCCUCACACCAUCGGAUGUGCCCAGAUGGGAUUGGCUAGGAGGUGGGGGAAUGGCUCACCUACGCGACGAUCCCUAGCGGGUCUGAGAGGAUGACCAGCCACACUGGAACUGGGACACGGUCCAGACUCCUACGGGAGGCAGCAGUGGGGAAUAUUGCACAAUGGGCGCAAGCCUGAUGCAGCCAUGCCGCAUGUAUGAAGAAGGCCUUCGGGUUGUAAAGUACUUUCAGCGGGGAGGAAGGCGGUGGAGUUAAUAACUUCACCGAUUGACGUUACCCGCAGAAGAAGCACCGGCUAACUCCGUGCCAGCCGCCGCGUAA
rnacentral:rRNA from 1 species